GACGAACGCUGGCGGCGUGCCUAAUACAUGCAAGUCGAGCGCAGGAAACUGACGGAACUCUUCGGAGGGAAGGCAGUGGAAUGAGCGGCGGACGGGUGAGUAACACGUAAGGAACCUGCCUCAAGGAUUGGGAUAACUCCGAGAAAUCGGAGCUAAUACCGGAUAGUUCAACGGACCGCAUGGUCCGGUGAUGAAAGGCGCCCCGGCGUCACCUUGAGAUGGCCUUGCGGUGCAUUAGCUAGUUGGUGGGGUAACGGCUCACCAAGGCGACGAUGCAUAGCCGACCUGAGAGGGUGAUCGGCCACACUGGGACUGAGACACGGCCCAGACUCCUACGGGAGGCAGCAGUAGGGAAUCUUCCACAAUGGACGAAAGUCUGAUGGAGCAACGCCGCGUGAGUGAUGAAGGUUUUCGGAUCGUAAAACUCUGUUGUAAGGGAAGAACACGUACGAGAGGAAAUGCUCGUACCUUGACGGUACCUUACGAAAAAGCCACGGCUAACUACGUGCCAGCAGCCGCCGUAA
rnacentral:rRNA from 1 species